GAUGAACGCUGGCGGCGUGCCUAAUACAUGCAAGUCGAGCGAACAGACUAUGAGCUUGCUCCUCUGACGUUAGCGGCGGACGGGUGAGUAACACGUGGAUAACCUACCUAUAAGACUGGGAUAACUUCGGGAAACCUGAGCUAAUACCGGAUAAUAUAUUGAACCGCAUGGUUCAAUAGUGAAAGACGGUUUUGCUGUCACUUAUAGAUGUAUCCGCGCCGCAUUAGCUAGUUGGUAAGGUAACGGCUUACCAAGGCAACGAUGCGUAGCCGACCUGAGAGGGUGAUCGGCCACACUGGAACUGAGACACGGUCCAGACUCCUACGGGAGGCAGCAGUAGGGAAUCUUCCGCAAUGGGCGAAAGCCUGACGGAGCAACGCCGCGUGAGUGAUGAAGGUCUUCGGAUCGUAAAACUCUGUUAUUAGGGAAGAACAAAUGUGUAAGUAACUAUGCACGUCUUGACGGUACCUAAUCAGAAAGCCACGGCUAACUACGUG
rnacentral:rRNA from 1 species